UUGAGGUUUAUGAACUUCAGCAGUGUGUUACUUGUGUGCUAAUUAAGGUGUGAUUAUGAUUAUGAUUAUGAUUAUGAUUAUGAUCUGCAUAAUCUACCUCUGUAUUAGCUAAACCCUGUUAUCCAUCUGAAAUAUAUAGUUUGUUUUUAUAUAUAAUGAUUAGCUCUGCUCCUUCAAAAGUGAUAUUUAAUUAAUUAAGAUCUUACGAUUUAAUUAGAGUAUUUUGAAAUUAUAUUUGUCAUAUUAAAUUUAUGACUUUUAACAUAUAAUAUUAAUAUAAAUAUUUUAGACAAUAUUACCUACAUGAAGCAUGAAUAAAAAUUAUUAAUAUUAGAUAGUUGAAGUUAGUUUGGAUUGUGAUUUAUUUAAUGAAUUCAUUAAAAAUUAUAAGAAUAUGAUGAGAUUGAUCUAAAAUAAUCCUGGAAGGUUUAAGAUUUUAAUUUAUAAAUUAUCCAUGAUUAUAAUUCAGAAAAGUUUCUCUUGAUAUACAUGAAUUAUGUUUGUAUGGCACACACAGUUAUAUUACACAGUUAUAUUCGUUUUACUCUCUCUCCGCUUCUGCUUUUAUUCAAAACAGCAGCAUGGGAAUUUUUUCCAAAUUCUAAAUUUCCCUCGGCGCUCUCUCUCACUCUCGCCUCUUCAUCGUCGGCUUCCAUCGCAGCUGACUGAAGCUCCCCAAACUGUGCGUUGAACACAAAGGCGACGCUGGUGUAAAAGCCUCCCUUUCUCCAUUCUCGAUCGUAAGUCUUUCCCAUCCACUGUCUGUUAUUCAGUUGUGUAUAAUUUUUUUUUGCACCAUAUACAUAUAUCCUAUCAAGCACAAGCCCUAGCUGCUAUGCUACCAAUUUUUUGCUUAUAUAAUUUGCAGGUAACUUGCCAAACAUCAUUUCUAUCUGCAUUUUAUAACCAAUGGUAAAUCAUUUCAUUGUAAGUUGUAAUUCCCGACCGUGAUCCUAAAGUAAUAUUAGAAGGAAGAAAGGAUUUAUGCUACAACGUGCAAGGUCGAUGCCUGCUACAAAUGGCUGCAGUCACUUGGACAGUUAGCUGCUAUAAGUUGUAGCAGCUACAUCGAUAGGUAACUGCUACACUUUGUAGCAGCUAACUGUCCAUGUAGCUGCUACAACGUGUAGCAGCCAUUUGGUAAGUUAUUUUUGUAGCAGUUAUAUUUUCUAGCAUAUAUUGCCCCUAAAAAUAUUUUUAUUAUGUAUAUCAACUUAGUAAAAAAUUAUUUAAAAUUAUUUUUGCUACUACAACCCCUUUGCUUUGCUGCUAUACGUUGUAGCAGCUACUUUGACAAUUAACUGCUACACCUUGUAGCAGCUAACUUGGAAUGUUAGCUACUACAACGUUGUAGCAGCUACUUCCAUAGUGAUAGCUGCUACAACAUUAUAGCAAUUACGUUCCAGAGUGGAAGUAGCUAAAUCGACGGUUAGGUACUACAUUAUUGUAGCAGCUACUUGGAAUGAUAGCUGUUACAACUUUAUAGCAACUAUCACUGUGGAAUUAGCUGCUACACCUUAUAGCAACUAACUUGGAAUGUUAGCUGCUACGACGUAGUAGCAACUAAUUCCACAGUGGAAGUAGCCGCUACACCAUUGUAGCAGCUAACUUGGAAUGCUAGCUGCUACAAUGUUAUAGCAGCUGUUUCUUCGUUUAUGCUCAACAAGAUGUGACUCUACAUUUUUCAAGCAAUAAUAAAUCAAAUCAAUCUUAGUUUUUUAUUUAGAUCAAUUUAAUGAACUUCUACACAUUGUAUUAGUUAAUGUAUAAAUAGUUAGAAGCUGCUACACGUUAUAGCAGGUGUAAAAGACCCCCUUUGUCCAUUCACGAUCGUAAGCCUUUCCCCUCCACUAUCUGUUAUUCAGCUGUGUACAAAUUUUUUUUUCACCAUAUAUAUAUCCUACCAAGCACAAGCCCUAGCUGCUAUGCUACCAGUAAUUUGCUUAUAUAAUUUGCAGAUAACUUGCCAAACAUCAUUUCCAUCUGUAUUUCAUAACCAAUGGUAAAUCAUUUCAUUGUAAGUUGUAAUUCCCGACCGUGAUCCUAAAGGAAUAUUAGAAGGAAGGAAGGAUCUAUGUUAUAACAUGCAAGGCCGGCGCCUGCUACAAAUGCCUGCAGCCACUUGGACAAUUACUGCUACAAGUUGUAGCAGCUACUUCGACAGGUAACUGCUACACCUUGUAGCAGCUAACUGUCUUUGUAGCUGCUACAAGGUGUAGCAGUCACUUGGUAAGUUAUUUUUGUAGCAGCUACAUUAUUUUCUAGCAGAUAUUACCCCUAAAAAUAUUUUUUAUAUAUAUAUCAUCUUGGUAAAAAUUAUUUAAAAUUAUUUUUGUUGCUGCAGUGCCUUUGCUUCGCUGUUACAUGUUGUAACAGCUACUUCGAUAAUUAACUGCUACACCUUGUAGCAGCUAACUUGGAAUGUUAGUUGCUACAACUUUGUAGCAACUACUUCCACAGUGAUAGCUACUACAACAUUAUAGCAAUUACGUUCCAGAGUAGAAGUAGUUAAAUCGACAGUUAUCUACUACAAUAUUGUAGCAGCUACUUGGAAUGAUAGCUACUACAACGUUGUAGCAGGCAUCACUGUGGAAGUAGCUGCUACACCUUGUAGCAGCUAACUUGGAAUUUAGCUGCUACAACAUUGUUGCUGCUACAACAUAAAGUAGCUACUAUAGAAUAAUUGCUUCACGUUGUAGCAGCUAAUCGGCAGCAGCUGCUACAACAUGUAGCAACUUAUCGGUAGUAGCUGCUAAAGGGGACAAAUAAAUGAUGGAUUACAACGUGUAGCAGCUUAUCGACAAUAAUUACUACACGUUAUAGUAGCUAGUCAGUUGUUGCUGCUACAACUUGUAGCAGCUACUGUUGCACAUUGUAGCAGCUAGUCAGCAGUUGCUUCAACACCGUUUAUAUAUUACUCCCCCCCCCCCCCGUAAUUGUUAAAUCGUGAAAGUGAUAGACUAAUUAUCCUUUUGUCCACCCUUCCACGACCAUGACCACAGUUAACCCAUACUAAGUUCAAGAGUACCCACCGUCGCUUCGUCCAUCAACCUCACUACGAUGUCUAGUUUUCACCUUUGAGUAUGCGUCCCUAUCGUAAGUUAUUUUAAUUGGACUCUUCACCUAGGAAUUAGAGUUUAGACUUUUAGGGUUUAUAUGAUUUUGAAUCUCCUCCUAGAAUAGCGUAGUUACCUCUACGAGCAUUUAAAUAUUUCCUCUAUAUUAUAUUUUCUACUAAUGUAUCUCCAUGUACGAUUGAAAUUUUUAAAUUUAUUUUGAGCAAAAUAUGUCAUUCUCUAGCAAUGGAAAAAACCUGUGAUGCUAAUCAGCUAACUAUACAUUCCCCAAAUCGUUGAAGAUUGAAAACCACGAAUUGGGAUGGAAUUUGCAUCAUUGGAGGAGGCAUAUUCGUUCUAUAAUCAAUAUGCGCACAUGAAGUCAGAUUUAGUGCAAGAUUAGGCAACAGCAAGAAAAAUUAGAGGACAAAUGAAGUUGGAUGGAAAUAAUUUGUAUGCUUUAAAGAAGGAUAUAUACAUGAUAAAUGAAAAAAAAGAAACACAAGUUGACAGUAUAAAGGAAAGAGAACAAUAUGCAUCUUUGACUGAUAAGGAGAAAAACUUCUUGUAUGAACAAUUAAAUUGUAUAUACAGUAAAAUUCAAGAGAUGAACAUUAGCAGAAAAUGUGACAAUCAAAGUCAAAGGAAGAAAGUCAUCGAUGGGGCCCCCUCUAUUGUUGAUCCUUCUUUAGUAAGGGCAAAGGGCUAUGGGAAAAGAUUAAAAUCUUCAAAAGAGACGUCUACCUCAAAGUCUAAGCUAUGUCGUGGAUGCGAUCACCGAGGUGUCUCACACGACAAGUGCAACUGUCCAUUAUUGCAACAAGGGUAUGCGUCCAUUAAUUAUGCAUUUGUAGUAUAAUUUUAUUCCUAAAUCAAUGAUUUUUAUCCAUUAAUAGUAAAUUUGAUGAUGAGUCGAUUGCCAGAUCAACUGCUACAGAGAAAGAUAAUACCAACAAUGACGAAUCAUAUGAAGAAGAUUUGACAUGUUCUAACAACUUUUCCUUUGAGUUAUGAGCCUAGAUUGACCAAACUCUCGGUAAGCGGUUAUUACUUAUUACGUUGUUAUUCCAUUAAUAAUCUGAGAUGUAUUACAUAAAGCCUAACUUUUUAUUAUAACAAAUUCAUUUUUCCAUUGAACUUGCUUUCAUCAUCAUCCCUCUUUCUACCAUUAAUUAAUUGAUGGGUCUGAGGAUCUCCAUAAAUUAAAUAAUUUCAAAUUAUAUAAGUGAUCAUUGAAUUAUUAAUAGAGAUUAAGGCUUGUUAGCUGCAUCGGCAGUAGCUGCUACACUUUGUAGUAGAUCACGUCUCUGAAGUAGCUGCUACAAUUUAUAGCAGCUAAUCCGCACUAACUGCUACAGAGUGUAGCAGCUAAUCUUCAGAAGCUGCUACACUUUGUAGUAGUUACUCUUGAGAAGUUGCUAAAAUUUAUUUUCUCUCUAAUCCACACUAACUGCUAUAGAGUGUAACAACUACUCUUGAGAAGCUGCUAUGGUUGUAGCAGAUCACUUUAUUACUAGAUCUUGAUAAAUGUUGGCUUAUAAUUAUCUUUGUUGUUUCAGGUUCUAACAACAUGACCUUUGAGUUAUAAAACUAGGUUUACCAAACUCUCGGCGAGCAGUUAAUAGAAUGACCGGAUGAAUUUGACAAACUUGUUGGUUAUUACAGAUCGCUUUGACAAACUUCUGUGAUAUUGUUGAUAAUAGACAAAAAGUGGCAUUUUGUAUGUAGAGUGGCGUAUAUAUAUAUUCCCUUGGCUAUAAUGAGAGAAAGUAUUAAAAUAGAGAAAUAAUAAACAUUUUCGUUCCUUUUAUAUUUUUAAGGCUUCCUCUUUUGAUCUUUUACACAAGGCAAGAUUUAUUCAAACCGUCACCUCUUUCCUAAAAUAACUAGGAUUGGUAGAAUUUCUCAUUCUACUCCUAUUUGUACACUAUUAUUCUAUUAAUAAUCCGAGAUAUCUUACAUAAUGCCUCCCUCUGUGUUGUAGCAGUUACGGAUAGAUAGCUGCUACAACAUUAAGUCAUAUGUUGUAGCAGUUACCGACCUGUAAUUACUACAACAUCAACUUAAUUAUAAUUAAAUUUCAUCGACCCUCCCGUUGCAUUUAAAGUGUUAUUUGGAAAUCAUGUUUCAGUUGCUACAAGAGUGUAGCAGCUACCACACACUAGCUACUACAACGUGGAACUCAUGUUCAUUGUUUAUGAGUUUGAUCAUGACUCAUGAGUCCACUUUAAUUUACUGCAUCAUGAUAUCACAACAUACCUAAGAAAUAAAAUAGGAAUAAUACAUUUAUUAUCAAUACGGCAGAGAUUACAUCGCAAGUGUAAUAUUAUCAAUCAAAUAUUACAUCUCCUUUACAUUGUAAGUGUAAUAUUGAACACAGUGAUCACAGUGUUCUGAAUCCCCAUGACUGCUCACAUUGUUCACAUAUUAUUUUCCUUCUUCCUCACGUCCUUUGGUCGUGCUUGGGAAGUUCGCCGAGGCGAGAAUCCUAUGGUUACUCCAUGAGGAUUCCUCAGUGCAUUCCCGAGGCUCUUUGUCAUGAACACAGGAUUUUGGGAAAACUUCAACUACUCUAUGAGUAGCCUAACCUCAUCCACGUGCAUCAUCGGGGCUAGACAAUUGUGUUCACAUUAAAGAUAUUUGUUUACAAAUAUAGAAGCUUACACUAAACCGUGAAAGGCAACAUAACCGCUUUGUCAUUCCCUCUUUGAGAGCAAGAUACACUUGAAUAUGUACACAAGAUGUCAUGAAAGAAAUGAUGAAGGUGGUGUCAGGAAAAUAACAUCAAUCCAUUAAUAAGCUACUCAUUUACCUUUGGAUGUGAUCAAAGGAGCCUGCCUGCCUCUGUUAUAUAGGAAAGCAGAGGAGCUUACUAUUCAAUCUGGGAAUAGUUGUAUUCACGUGUCAACAACUAGGCUUUUGACAAAAUAGGAUUUUGAAUUCUUCAUGAGUCAUAAUUUAUGACAGAUAUGACUAGUCAUAGCUGUCAUAAAGAUGACAGCUAUGAGUGAUCACUCUAUGGACCUCACGGAUCAAUAGACUAGAUGUGGUAGGUCGCCAUUAAUUAAUUGGUGUGGCUACAUAAAUUUAUUAAUUUUAAAUUAUAUAAGAGACCAUUGAAUUAUUAAUAGAUAUUAGAGAUUGUUAGUUGCAUCACCAGUAGCUGCUACACCUUGUAGUAGCUCACGUCUCUGGAGUAGCUGCUGCAAUGUAUAGCAGCUAAUCCACAGUAACUACUACACGUUGUAGCAGCUCAUGUCUCUGGAGUAGCUGCUACAAUGUAUAGCAACUAAUCUGUAGUAACUGCUACACAGUGUAGCGGCUACUCUUGAGAAGUUACUACAUUUUGUAGCAGCUUCUGAUGACUAUCUGCUACAACGUGCUGCAGUAGCUCAUGUGCGCAAAUAGUAUGAUCUUAUACGCAUGUUUUAGCACACAUUCACUUGACUUAUGCACAUAUAUUCUUCACAUGAUCACAUCUUUUAUCUUAUAUUCAUCAUAUAUAUUGUUUUGUUCGGAUAUCUGCCCUUUGUUUGGUUUUAUGUUGACAGGAAAGAUUUUCAAAGCUUGAACGGAGAAUAUUGAUGCACUGGAACCAACCAGACAACACGGUCGUGCAACCCUGCACGGCCGUGUGGCCAAACAGAAGAGGAAAAGCACAUGACCGUGCAACCCUGCACGGUCAUGCGACCAAAAUAGUGACCAGUCAGCACACGGUCGUGCAACCCUGCACAGCCGUGCCACCCCAGGCAGAGAAGGAGAUUUGCACGGCCGUGCACCCCUGCACUACCGUGCCCCGGGAGACAGAGCCCAGGGGCUACACGGUCGUGCGACCCUGCACGGCCGUGCAGCCACGCACAGAACCGGAGAAGGGCACGACUAUGACACCCUUACACGGCUGUGCUGUCGCGGCCAAACCCUAAGGCUAUAUAAGGGUUUUAACCCUUUUUGCCAGAGAGGGAGGCAAGCCGUCAGGGAGAAAAAGAUCUUGGAGCAAUUCUACGCCAUUUUGGACCGUCGUUCAGCGAACUUCCACCACCACAUCGACUCCAGAAGCUGAGAGUUGGAUCCGAAGGCCACUCUUCGACAUCCGAUAAACAUAUUCCUUCUUACUUGCUGAGAAUUAUAUGUUUGUCUAUACUAUGUUUUCAUACAUCUCUCUAGCAUUCAUGGAGUAGAUCCCUUGUUCUGGGAUUAGGGAGUAGUCAUGGUACGGAUUGAUGUAAAACUCGUAUUAUGUUUAUACUUGUUGGAUGAACUUUCA